GUCUAAGCGCGACUUCCAUUAAAACAAGGAUUGAAAC
rfam:Desulfobacteraceae bacterium IS3 Ga0073107_10507, whole genome shotgun sequence.